rnacentral:pre_miRNA from 1 species
UUUGACUUUUCGUCUUAUUUGAAUUUUUUAUAAUUAAUUUUUUUAUUGUUAUUACGUGAUAAAAUAUGAAUAAUACUUUGCAUGUGACUAUUUUUUCAAUUUUUUAAUAAACUCUUCAAAUAAGACGGAUGAUCAAA